rnacentral:lncRNA from 1 species
CUCCACUGCAGUCCCUGCAGUAUGUUCUUUCUGCAUGGGGAAGCAUCCAGGGAACAAUCAGGCAGUAGGUCUGCAUACUCAGGAUGGAAGUUCUCCCUGCUUUGGUGAAACCUUUAGCAGCCACCGUAAGUAAACCACAGCCUCCCUCAAGUGCCACAGCCCACCAGGAGAGAAACACUACGCUGCUUUUAGAAACAGCUGCUGCCCACCAGAUGGUGGGGACGCCGCUUCUGCUGCAGCCACCCUGCGGUGCUCGGGUCUGCCGCUCAGUCCUGCCCGUGGCAGAGGAUGCUGUCACCACUGUGACAGUCGGGAUUUUGGCCACAGUUUUCAUCAUCAAUCAACACUAUCAGGAAGUGGCAGGCAUCUAUCUAACAGGGACAUAAGCACUCCUUAUGUCCCUGCUACAAUCCCUUUCAUAAGGAUUACAUUUUACUUACACAUAUGUAUACACAUUUCUAUAUGUAUAUUAAAAAAUGUAUACGUCCACAGAAGUUAAAAACAAAUGCAAGAGGGAAGGUAGCAAGCUGCCACUUGCUCUCCAACUUCCUGCCAUGCUGCACGUCUGGCGUGUGGGGGUUGGGAAGGUUUGGCAGCAGAUGCACUGACUGUCCAUCUGCUCACAGCAAUAUCACCAAUGCACCAGGUUUCUAACUGUAUUCCUUAGCCAUGCCGCAGCGUUUAUCAUUCAAGUAGAUUGUUUUCCUACUACUUAAUGCUGAUUUGUAAGCUCUGUCUCUAUUUAGCCCUGUUUUCCUGAAAAUGAAACGAAAUAUGAUAAAUGACUCCUACAGCACAGCCUUUCCUUCCCUGUACCGCAGCCGGGGGGAGCGUGGGGGAAGCCCAUUGUGCUGGCUAUGGCUAGCCCUCUGAAUAAGAGAGGGAUCUACAUCUAGAUUUGAAUAUGUGAAUAAUCCAGUCAGCAAUAGAAAAACAUAUCUUCCUGCCGUGUAUUUAAUUUCCACUUGCUACGCUCUCCCCCAUGCUGCUUUGCAUCCCUGUAAGUCUUCAAUUAUUAUCGCUGAAUCAGUCACACAGUGUACACCCUGCCUGUCACAUGGAUCUGCAUCAAAUUCACCACAAUACUCUCAUGCCUAUAGUUUAACUAGACUGUUUCUAUGGUUAUGACAGAUAUAUUACUGCUUUUGCUUAAUUAUAUACCUUGCUCUUGAAAACUCUUUGUGAUCCAGUCCCUAGAUAAGACUCUUUGCAACAGGGUCUGCUGACAUUAAUGCGAAAAACUAAAAUAGUCAUUUUCUUCUGAGCUGAGGAACGUUGGAGGCUUAAAAGAAAUCGUACAAUACGUCAAUAGCCACUGAUGGCUAACAAACACUGAUUUAAAGAACAGCAGAAUAGUAUGAGCCCUAAACUAUUCUGUACACAGUA